rnacentral:lncRNA from 1 species
CAGGCCGGAUUCCCUGCAGGAUCUGCGCGUGUGGCCACGAGCGUAGGUGUGCAGCACCGGAGCGCGAGGCUCCCCCAAACCUCCACCUCUUCCCUUCUUUCCCUUCGCCGGUUCUCAGCAGCUGAAGUUAGGUGGGUUUUUCCUAGAGCUUUGGUUUCCCUGCAGUUAUGAGCAGGGAAGGGUCGCUGGGAGAAGCUGCUGCCCCUUGGAUYGCCUUUUCCCAGCAGAGCCAKGCCCUGGUGAUGCAGCUCCUCCRCCCAAAGCCGAUCGCUGCUGGAUGCUCUCCCGCUUUGGAGGCUCGGCGCACCCGUGCCUGCAGAGCCGCGCCGCACCGGGGCUGCAAAAAAUGUCCCCUUUGAGCCCUUUCCCCUCCGUGCUUUGGGAGGGGGGGGCUGGACCGUGACUCGCACGAGCAGCGCUGUGUUGAUGCAGCGAAGCGCCAGAAGGCCCCAGCGAGGAGCACAGUGCUGCCGACACGGGGAGCGAGGGAGAAUCCCUGCGCGGUAGGAGAUGUCGGGUACUCGUUGCUGGGAAGAACUGGUGUUUCGCCUCUCGCCCACCCCUCCGCCAGCUCUUUGGGGCCACCGGUUCAGACUCCAGCUGCACCGAGGAAGGGAUCUUGUUUUCCAGAGACCCCACCCGGAGGAGCAACUGGAUUUUGCCUUCAUUUUCCCCUCGAGAAGGACGGGGGCCGGCGUUUGCCAGCUCGUUCUGCUCCCCAGGAGGAACAAAGUGGGAAUCGGGCACGGUAGCACCACACUAAGGUGUUUUGACUCUUGGCAAUAAAACUUGGAGCGAGCCACAGCUGAGACAAGGUGAUGUGUUUUAUUGUGGGUGCCGUGUAUUUUAAUCCCUGCUAACAGCUCRCAGAAGGAUGCGUCCCCCUCCCUCCUCGGGGACCAGCUCGUCGCCGCGUCGCGGGAGCUGAGCCGAGGCAGCCGUGGCCGCUGCGCUGCAGCUCUUGCUCCCGUGCGGUAGGCGAGAGCUCACGUUAAAGGGGCCGUUUCUCCCCCCGCCUGGGUUUGCACUUUAUUUCAGCACAGCUCCAGCCCUGCGCUCCCCCCUUCCGCUCGGYGCAGGAGGYGKCRGCGACGAGGGAGCAGCGAGCGCUUCCCCCCGACGUGCUUUGUGUGGGGGCAGAGGUGGCGCAGGGCUUUUUUGUCUGCCACUGCUGCCCUUAAAGGUAAGGYUGAGAGGCUUUAAGAGCCUUAAAGUCUCUGGGUACUCUUAAAGUAACUUUGAGUUACUUAGGAAGACAUUAAGUCACUUUAAGAAUAACCUAAGGAACUCAGACUAACUUUAAGAACUUUAUUCUUAAGUUCUUAAAGUGACUUUAAGGGUACCCAGAGACUUUAAGGCUCUUA